rnacentral:rRNA from 1 species
CAGCCGCGGUAAUNCCAGCUCCAAUAGCGUAUAUUAAAGUUGUCGCAGUUAAAAAGCUCGUAGUUGAAUUUCGGGGUCAGUAGGUUGGUCGUGCCACUGGUAUGCACUGGCCUUACUGAUUCCUCCUUCUUGAAGAACUGCGAUGUCAUUAACUNUGGUGUUGCAGGGAAACAGGACUGUUNCUUUGAAAAAAUUAGAGUGUUUAAAGCAGGCUAACGCUUGAAUNCNUUANCAUGGAAUAAUGAAAUAGGACGUUUGAUCCUAUUUUGUUGGUUUCUAGGAUUGACGUAAUGAUUAAUAGGGAUAGUUGGGGGCAUUAGUAUUCAAUUGUCAGAGGUGAAAUUCUUGGAUUUAUUGAAGACUAACUNCUGCGAAAGCAUU